CAAAGAACAUUUGUUAGUGAUGGGUUGUAUGUUCAUGAUCCUGAUGACUACUAAAAAAGACCACACAUUGUUUUUCAUAAUGGGUACAAGACUAUAACUUUUCAAUAAUGAAAUGUAACCUUCAAUUGCCACUGGAUUCCCAGUAUGUUGGUUAUUUUCAGUGUGUGGUUGCAAACAUAUCUGAGCAAAAUCAGUGCAAGAAGCAAACAAAGGCUUUCUAGCAGGCAGUGAUGGACAACUGGUUGCCUGGAUCCCCCAUACGGGGAGGUCAUAUGGGGCUUCCAGGCCACCAGUUGUUCAUCACUGCCAUGUGAAAACUACAUAAAUUAUACUGGAUGGUUCCCUUUGUUUAUUUUUAAGUGUAGACUUCUAAAAUUCAGGUUGUAUCUUUGCAUUGAGCCUUACAAAACUGAAUUACUAAUGCUCUGAGCUUGUGCAGCAUCAUGGACCCUGGGGAAAGGGUUCACCAAGAUCAUAUAGAUAUGAACCUACAGAGGGCAGUAGUGAUGAGCAAAUGAGUAUGGACCCC